CGGACGGGUGAGUAACGCGUGGGUAACCUGCCUCAUACAGGGGGAUAACAGUUAGAAAUGACUGCUAAAACCGCAUAAGCGCACAAGACCGCAUGGUUUGGUGUGAAAAACUCCGGUGGUAUGAGAUGGACCCGCGUCUGAUUAGCUAGUUGGAGAGGUAGCGGCUCACCAAGGCGACGAUCAGUAGCCGACCUGAGAGGGUGACCGGCCACAUUGGGACUGAGACACGGCCCAAACUCCUACGGAAGGCAGCAG
rnacentral:rRNA from 1 species